GCCCUCGAUGGCUCAGAUGGAUAGAGCGUUUGCUAUGUAAGCAAGAGAUUCCGGGUUCGAGUCCCGGUCAGGGCU